rnacentral:lncRNA from 1 species
GCGGACCUGGUCGACCAGAUCGAUCGACGUCGGCCUCGGGUAACCUUGCCUAUGUACUUAUUUGUUCAUCAACUAUAUUCUACUUUGUGCUGGAACAAUCGGCGUUCCUUUGGGCCAUGACCAUGACUACCAAUGGUCAUGUUACAUCGGAGCACCAAUACAAGUGGCAAACACCCUAAGUAACCUAAAUUUCACUUAUGAUAAAUUCACCGGCUAUAUUCAUGCUUCCCAAUGUGCUUUCGGGGCUGCACGUCAAAAGUAACCUCGUCCAGACAACUGUCCCGUAGCUGCUGAGCCUUGGGCGCUACACGUCUCUGGACUGCCAAAUGGCCGUAGGUAGAGAGCAAAUCGUAAGGACAAAUAAUGCCUCCCUACACUUAUAUUUGAUGGCAAACAUGUUAACUAACCUCGUCAUAACAUUUCACACACUCAGCGCGCAUAUCUGUGCCUAAUUAUGACACUUUCAAGGUUGCACAUUUACCAAGCUUCUAGCUGGCGAGUAACCUGUCCAGACAACUGCCCCGUAGCUACCGAGCCUGACGAGUUACACGUCUCCGGACUGCCAUAGGGUAUCCAAACAAGCAGCAACAUGCUGUACAAAGUGUGCAACUGAUGAUACCACUUCCAAUAACUUAGCACCUACCUACCCUAUGGCACUGAUUGGGUCUGUAACCCAUGGGUUACCCUCAAUCCCAUGGGUUACCGUAACCCCCAACAGCCUAUUGAUAACCCAUUGGGAAGGGUGACAUGGCACCAGGAUAAACCCCUCUGUUGCUCUGGACUAUGGACAUGGGCCUAUAGGCCUAUAGGCUACCCAUCUUAUUUGCUGCUCACUUCAUGAACUCUUAGGAUAUUUUUGCCAUUUAAAGGCUGCACAUGCUGGAAGCACACAAGAAAACUAAUUAGUUUGGGGAUGUGUUCCCACUUUGAGGGAAAUAUGGUAUUGUUGUCCCCAAUAAUACCGUACUUUACUAUAAUGCAAAACGGAUUGGGGAACAUAAACUUGCUUUAAAGCCAUUGUGCUGAAGGACAAUAAUGACUGGGCAUAAACCUGAUGAAAGUACAGAAUCCUUACAGUUUGCUUCAACUGCAAUAGAAGUCUGAGUUAUUCAUGCAGGUUGGCUAGUCCCAAAAGAAAUUUAUCAUGCUUGUGAGUUGGCAUAUAAUGGAAUAGUAAGUUACCCUUUCCCUUUUUCACUGGUUAAUUGCAGACACUUCCAUGCUGGGCUCUGGCAGUGGCAGGGUUGUGGCAGAUGCCUGCUGAGGGGUGACUGGACAGCUGGCAGGCUAGGAGGGGGCGGGUUGGGGAGGGUGUUGUAGAGGUCUUAGGGCCUUGAAGGAUAGUGCUUGUCACAGGGAGGCCCAGUCUGGGAUUUUCCCAGGUUCGGGAGGUAGGGGCCAUCUCAUGAGAGUCUGACCAGGUGGUGGUUGGGAGUUGUUUGGGUAUGUGUUGUGUGUAGUUCUGUUGUGUCACCCUGCUGGGGGAUGUUGUUGGUUUGAGGUGUGGUGGCCAGUGGGCUGCAGUCCUGCGGCUGGGUUUGUGUUCUUCUGUUCUCCUGCAGUGUAAGGGCCCUUGGCAGCUUGUUCCUUGUUGUAUCCACCUCCACUGUUAUGUGAUAGUGGAAACUACUGAUUACUGAAUGAAAUUAUGCAGUGAACAUGAUGACAUGUUGUAGCAGUCGCUCACCUGGCGGGUCGACUGGAUAAGUGGAAGUGUGGUGUUGACAGUCCUCGCUGGAGUAGGAAUAAGUCCAACCCAGCAGCAAGCACUAGUGUACAUAGACGCGUACGAAACAAUCAGAGACGGCGGCAGCAGAGUCUUGAACUCCGAACACCUAGUAGAUGUGAUAUGGUAGCUUAUAUCUUGGCCUACCUGCCGGAGAUUCCCUACCACGGUCCUGCCGUACUAGGAUAAUGUUGGUGGGGCCUGGGGCCCCAGCCCGUUAGAUUUGCUUAUGAACAACUGCCAAGUAUGCCAAGUAACGUGGACGAAAUGUAUACUUUGUAACGUGUACGAACCUUGAGUCAAAUUGUUAACAAAUUAGCAGUUAUUGUUAACAGUAAUCGUUCAAAUAUUCUAAGGGAAAUGUAGCUUGCUACACAUGUACAGCAACCUGUAUGGCCUGGGAAUGUAGUUGCCAUCACUAAGAAUCACCAUUAGGUGCAAUUGUACCCAACUGGGUGUACCUGUAGUAACUGGCCGCUGAAAAGGCCUCUUGAAAACAAUUCCAGCUACUACAGUACCAGUGACAAGUGUCAUGGUUAUAGCAAGAGCACCAUAAUCCAGCCACACAUGAUAUAAGGUAGGCAAGCACCAAAUAGGUUAAUCAAGCAAGAGUGAAGAAAAUGCCAAGUGAUGAACUGCCAGAAUCUUAAGAAAUUCAAGUAUGCCACAACAACUAUCCCCUGUCUAGACUCAGCAUCCUUGCAGUGUUAGUGACACUAGCCUUGACUGCUUGAAGUUCAGAGUGAAGGUCAGGCAUAAAGUUCUUCUCUGGCUCCCAGCUAUUAUGUUUAUCAGAUUCCGAUUGCUUAAAAGCUUUUCCUUUUGGUUUGGUUUGGAGCAAAAGCCAUCAUGAGCCUUCACCCUGCACCAGCCUGCGACCACGUAGUACUCCUACCUGCUCUACCUGCAGCUGUAUGUACAUGGUGGGACCAUGUGUUGCUAAACAACAUUUUGUAUCCCCAGCAGUUGCACCACCACUACCUGAAAAUCCUUGUACUCGUCUUUCCAUACCAGGUUUCAUACUUCUUUUGAGCGAGCCCUGUAGCUCUCUUCCAUGCACAGUCAAUCAUUAAGCUUGAUGAUUAUAAACCCUUAAGGGUUUUAUUCAACCGGAUUCAGCACCCACUACCACCACGAACUAUCAUGUUCACGUGGAUGUUUGC